UCUCGAUUGGUCUAGUGGUCAGGAUACCUGCUUGUCAUUGUCAGAGUCAUUGUACAAGUGCGCAGGUGGCCGGGGUUCGAUUCCCCGAUCGAGAG